UAGGUUCUUACCAAAUUGCUCUCUAAGAGACUGUGGCUACCCUGUUGGUAAUAACGUAUCCCUACUUUAUACUUAUCUACUCUUUAUUUCUCUUGCUAUCAAUCCGCAGUGAAUGUACGACUAUUUCCCAACAGCUGAUUCUCAGUUCGUGUCAGUAACAAUUGAAAUGCUUUUUCCGUCUAAGGAAAUUUGCAGUGGCCACGCUCAUUUGCUCAUUAAACAACAGGCACUUCACCAUAAUUAAAUUAACCACCGACCAACAAUAUUUUCUGGGCCGGCUGACCAUACCACCAUUCUAUGGUCACCCAAAAUCAAUGCCCUAUUUCAUUAAUAAUUGAGCUCCGCCUAGUACGCACAACAUUUGGGAGGGGCCCGCAACAAAUUUAUUAUAUUAACCUUUACAUAAUAUUGAUAUUUUAACAAUUAUUUUUGAAUUUUAUUAAUUUGGAAUAUACAAUCACUUCAACUUUCAAUUUAUUUAUAAAUUUAGAAAUAAAUGAACUUGAAUAAAAUUUUCAAAUGUG